GCAUCUGUUUAAUGAAACCACAAACAGUAAAACAGUAAAGAACAAAGAGAUAAGGAUAAUGAAACAACAGUAGAAUUUAGAAGUUAAAUAAAACACAUUCAAUUUUACUUUUUUCCAGAGGAGCCUAUACCAGCUCUAAGUUCAACUGCCUGAGACCGAAGUGAUGAUUCUGUCUACCUAUUUGCCUUGCUGGACCUGUGAAGAACUGUCAAAACAACUGUAGAGGAAUUGUGUUGGAGGCAAUAAUGGCUCCUUUAGUAUCAGAGAAUAGAAAGAUCUCGAAAACAAAGCCUGUUGUCAGGAGACUUGCACCUAUCCUGGCCUACUUCCAAGUAGAAACAAAAACAGAAACGAAGAUAUCCAUGGCACCUAAUGUUAUAAGAAGAAGAAAGCACUUGUAAUCACAGGGGUACUGAGAAAAGGUAACAGACAAAUUUAUAUUUGUGGAACCAGGAAUCUUUCUGAUGACUUUUGGAAAGGGUGGACAUACAAAUAAAAAUCAACGUUUUUCUUGGUAAGGAUUUGAC
rnacentral:lncRNA from 1 species